UGGCUCAGUGGUUGAGCAUCUGCCUUUGGUUCAGAUCGUGAUCCCAGGGUCGUGGGUUCAAGUCCCAC
rnacentral:tRNA from 1 species